rnacentral:lncRNA from 1 species
UGAUGCUCAUGUCGGAAGACUUGGCUCUUUACCUGAAGGAACAGUGGAGUGACCCAGCGUCCCGGGUGCCUUGACUGACUGGAUUUCGUUUGGGGCUUUUGUGAGUAAUUAUUGUUUCUCAGUGAAUGCUUUGGUUGGGUCAGUUUGGUUUGUGGCUUGCCUUUGUUGUUUGGUCGAUUUAUUUUAACUGCUAGCAAAAGGAGCCCUUGGCUUGGAGGCAGGGGUCCUCGCGCUGCCCAGGCACAGCGCUGGUGGGGAACGCGUGGCUGCGGCUGUUGGACUGUCACCGCUCCGGACGCUUGGAGGUCUUCGCUGCUAGAGAGUCUGAUUUCGAUCUCUCUGGCUGAGUAGGUCCACCUGAGGGUCACUCUCGCAGUCCCGCCGGAGUCAGCCAGCCUCAGUGGUGCUCCCGACCGCCCCACCCGGCCAUGCCCUCCCACAGGGCUGGCUAGGCUCCCAGGCAGCGCCCAGCUCCUCCCCGCCAGCCAAAGACGCGUCCAGCCGGGCGGGCACCAAGAGCACCGAAAGCAUUGCACAUGCCCGCCCCCCUCCCCCCAAUAGUUCCUGCCCCAAGACCCGUGCUGGCGACCCCUCUGCGGAGGGAGAUGGCCCUGAGGGGACGCUCAGUGAUGCCCGGUCUCUGGGCCACCACGCAAAGCCGAGGCUUGAGCGCAGCCGGCACCUGCUCUGUGCGCCAGGCGCUGCCAUACCCACUGCUCUCACCACCCCUGGGCUGGAGACAAAGCGCAUGAGCCACGCGCGCGGCAGCGCGAGCAUCAUUAAUCAGAGGAAACUGGCGCGCUGCCCCGGCCCCGCCACCCUGCCUCUCCCUCCCAGCCACCAGGCGCGCCCCGGAGCCCAGCCCUUACCUACCUCGCUGGGGUACCACCUCGAGUCCUAGGGAUGUUUGGCCAGAGCUUCUGGGUUUCUGGUACUCCGUGCUUACUCUCCGAGGCCAAGUGCAGAAAACAGCCCGGGGCAGCAACACCUCACCCCACCCAAGAAAUGAUUCUCAGCUUUGAGCUCUCAGAUGCCCAGGCUUUAGAGCUGAGAGAGACUACAAGUCCUGCUGCUCAGCGAGACUGGUCCUCUGGAUGCAAGACCGCCCAGAUCAGUGCUGCCUGCCCCACUGGGCGCUGAUGCGCUGACUGAGAGAAACCUUGCACUGCAGAGCCCAGAGGGGUAGGGCUGGGGCAGGGAGCAGAGUUGACACCUGAAGAAAUAAAAGCUCUGAUUUACCCAUUUACUUUUGCCCUAUGUCCUAGAUAAAGAGAACAACUAAGUUCAUGUACCUGGAGAAUUUCUACUUGGCUGAACAGGACAAAGGGUGGUGCGUAAGAGUGCAGGCGGCAUCUGAGUCACGGAGGCACUUCUGUAAGAGAAGACACGAAUUCCUGCAGGUCAGGAGUAUUUCCCCUGGGAUGUAUCUAUAAGCCAAAGAUUUGAGCAGAGGACAAAGAAAAAAAUCGUCAACUCUGAGCAAUAGCACCUAUUUCAUUUUUCCAUAGUUGACACAGAUGUUACUGAAAAUGACCCACUUAUUUCUUAGGAGAAAAAUAUAAAAGGACUGGUUGUGGGGAUUUGAGUUUUACAAAGUCCCCAUUAGGGAGACUGUUAGCUAGCAGACAGAUUCUAUCUUUAACCACUCGAUGAUUUUAAAUGGGAAAAGAAUAAUCCUUCAUAAAGAACAAUCAUGAUGCUGCCCUCUUCCCAGGAGCUCUAUCGUGCCUAAUUCUUAGACAUCAAUUUGUACCUCUCAUUCACAUCAGUUAGCUACCCAAGCAUCUGUCUCCACCAGUGACGAGUAUAGGGACACAUGGAAUGCCCCAGCUUUGGAAUCAGACUGCCGGAAAUACAACAUGCUCCAUCCAGGACUUCAGGUGUAUUAUGUAUGGCACUCAAUCCAUUUGUCUGUCCGUAUAAUUGAAUAACGUAACUCCCUCCUUUGAGUGGUUGUGCAUGUAAGUUUUAUCACAACGGCCAGUGCAGGCUCUCUGUAAUAGUGACUAUGUGCUGUAUGGGCUCCUGCCACAAUCACAGUCAUACACUCUGGAUCCAAAACACCAACAUGUCUACACCUCUAAGAUGCCACCAUACUGGAAGGUGUUCAUCCCUUGUUCUAUAUUGCACAAUCCAAUACAGCUUUAUUUCAUAUUUUAAGUCUAUUCAGUGCCCCAAAUUUGUUUCUCUCAUGUACUCAUCUUUGCUAAGGAGGGAAGAUAGAAGCUAUCAAAGAUUACCAGCUCUCAUUUUACCGGGUUAUCAUCUGAUACUAUUUAUUACUAUUUUAUUAACUUAACACAAUAACUAAUAUUUCCAUGUCCCUCUAAAUCUUUUAGCUAAAGGUAUCAUUUCUAUCGGAUUCUUAGUUUACUGAAACUAUCCUUAAUCAAAAUGCAGUAGAGGACUCCAUGCUUUUUUUAAAAUAGUGGGGUUUGUCAGUGUUGUCUGUGGACCAUUAUAACAACCAGCAUAGCUCAAUAGCCCCAAGGAUGGAGAGCUUGUUCUCAUACCUUGGCAGCAACAGCACUCUAAUUGGACUAAAGACAUGCUCAGCAAGAGGAAAAUACUGUCUGUUACUGGAAAUCUAGCCAACUUAUUUAGUACUAGUUAAGAUCUUGAAGGCACGCUUAGAAUCACCAUUUUACUAAACCAGCAUAAGCCCUCACCACAAUCCAAAUAUUCAUCUUUACACCUUCACGCCUCAUCAAGGAAUCUUCUCUUUGUCACAAACAGAAAACAUUACAGAUCAACCCAACUAGUCAAAACGCACAGCUGAGGAGCCCAGUCCUGGUAGAUAAGUCUACAAACACACCUCUCCAUUUAAGUCUCAGAGAACAUGGUGGAAGAGGGUCAGAAAAGAUUAUAAGAGUCAUAAGAUCAGGGAAGUAUAUAUGAAAUUGUGUCUCCUAGUCAUGUCGCAUGGUACACCCAUAGAGACUCAACAACAUGACUGUUUAUCAUGCACAACAACAAUAGAUAUGCCAAAGUGAACAGGAACAGAAAGACCAGCCAGCAUCAACCCUGCACAAAGAAUAAAGGACUUGGAAAUGCCAAGCUUGGACCUGGAAGCUCUUUCCAUACUGGCUAGCUUCUGUGGUAUAGAAGGUGAAGGCGUCACGCAAUCUGCUGGAGGAGAAGAGUCCCCAACCGGCAACUCGGACCAUGGCAACGAUGGCCAACCUGCUGGCUCAGAAAACGAGGGAGCCAAGAGACUGUAAAAGGUGGAGGUUGGUGGGGACUAAGGCUAAACAGCGUUUUGUGCACGUGACCCGGCUGUUGCUUUCAAUGAACACAUAGCAUCUGUGAUUGCCACCAUCAGACUAGCCCAAGCCAGAGUGCAGCUCACCAGGGAUGACGGAGAGGGGCCAUGAGGCUUACACAAAACUGAAGUCCUAUUGAUAUUUGACAGUUGCUGGGGAAAGAGAGUAAUUUUUUGGAACUUUGGUCUCUUAUAGGUUGUCCAUACUCCAGUAUGAUUAGCUUCUCAGGCAAGUGCAUAUUGACAAGGCUCAUGGAGCCAAUUGGGUAAAAAUAAAAUAAGUAAAAUAGAAGAGGAUGUGAAGUUGAGAUGGAAACAUGAGGGGUUUGGGAGAAGUCGGAGGGGAGAUGGGGAUAAAAAUGAACAGAAUGAACUAUAUGCAGAUAUGAAAUUCUUAAAGAAAAGACAAAAUACUACAUUCACACAUAUUUAUUUAUAUCUUAACCUGUUAUGUUUAUUAUUACCUAUUAUAUAAUACUAUUAUUUAAUAUGAAAGAAUAAAACUAUAUUUAAUUUAAAUGUGUAUGGAUAUAUUUAAAAGUUUGUUUUAGGUAGAAAGGUACUCUUCUGUGGAAUGAAAUGAGGCUGGAAGUCGUGAGGGUUUUCCAGGUCUUUUACAAAUAUGUUAAAGUUUAAUACUCAUUAAUGGCAUGCAAUAAGCCUCGCAAUCAAGACCGUAUCUGUAAAGUAUUCCUGUUGAUUUCAAGGUGGUGAUUUUCAAAGUAAUUUCUGACUUCUCAUACUGUGCAUAAAAUCAGACAUUAUGUCCCCAAAUGACCUUUCAUUUACUACAGGAAAGAGUAGACCCCUGCGGAUCCCCUUGCUGCUGCGUGCGGCUUCCUUCAAUUGAUUGUUCUGAGAUAAUGACUUGAUUAGACUCAGGAUAGCCGUCCAGUCCUAAUGUUUUGGGGUCACUACAGUUUCAAGCACUCAACAUGAUUUGUAGUGAUUCAGAACCUUAAACACAAUGAUUCCUUAAAUUGGUGUUCAUGAUCUUUUUUUUUUUUUUCACUUUCCUUCCCGUCAACUUCGAAAGAUUGAACACCCAGAAAUAACAAUCAUUAAAAGGCCCUGCCUCUAGAUUCCUGUCUUGGGUCCCUGUCCUCAUUUCCUUCAUGAAGAACUGUAACCUGCAAGCUGGAAUAAACCCUUUCCUCCCUAGGUUACUUUUGUUCACGGUGUAUAUCCCACAACACGAAGCAAAUUAGAACAGAUUACAUACAAGGGCACAGGUGACUGGAAAGCAGCUCAGUGAAACUCAUCCUGGCACUGGUGACAGACUGAUAAGCUCAGUCAACCAGAAUGUUUCCUUUCCGCAGCAACUGCCAUUGCUAAGACCACCUUAGGAAGGGAGCUGGAGCUGGUGAGUCUGUUAUGUUGCAGAAGCUUCCUAGCCUUGCUAGUGUUGCUCCCGAGUCUCCUGAGUCUUAGGAACUCUAGCUGGGAAAGCUUGGACUCAGAAGAAAUGGCUACAUAGACAUGCGUGACCCCCCCCCCACUCCCCUACUGCCAAAUUGUAGGAUUCAUUUAGGCCCCAGGGCUGUACCUAUCCAGAAAAUUAGCCCUGACUCUGGAGAGCUGGAGCCUAUGGAACAUAGAGUCGUGUCUCACUCUACCUCCAUGCAGUCUUCGACAAUAGAAGGAAGAAAAUUUAAGCAACUCCCUCAGUACUUUCCUUUCAGUAUAUGCUUAACAGCACAUAUCCUAUAACCAAAGAGCACAGAUGGGACAAUGAGGUCUUAAUUAGAUCUUGAAUUUAUGCAAUUAGCUACUGUUACAAUUAUAAAUUCUACAAUGCACCAUUACAAAGACACUCUAAGCCUAUCUCAUCGCUUCGCUUUGGUCAGUCCUGGAGGACUAUACAAUUGGCAAAGCAGUUCACAGGAACUGAACAACCACUUAAAACAUGACGUGAGUUAAAACUGUGUCUGAGUUCAGGUGCCAGGCAGUAUUUCUCAUUCUGGCUACCAAACAAAAUGUGAAUGAAGAUACAGAUCUCAUCAUUACUGCUAGGAAACAUUGUUUCUGAAUGGAUAAAGUCUUAGUCUAUGUUAGGAUGGUUCCUCCAUAUCAGGAGUUGAAACACAGACCCAGAUGUACUCAGAACGCACCAGCUAACACAACUAGACUUUUCUCCAUGGAUGAGAACACUGGAGGUAGGUGGAUAGUAUUAGACUGUGGUUCUCAACCGUCCUAAUGCUAACACCCUUUAACAUAGUUCCUCAUGUUGUGGCAACCCCCGGACACAAAUUAUUUUUAUUGCUACUUCAAGACUGUAAUUUUGUUACUGUUUUGAAUUGUUAUGUAAAUGUGUUUUGGAGAUAGGGGUUUGCCAAAGGAGUCUUAACUGUGGUGACCCACAAGUUGAGAAGCACUGUUAUAGAAGUUGACAGUGGUACCUUUGAGUGUCUAGAGAGAUGGCUGAACAGAGAAGAGAGCAUACUGCUCCUACAGGAGGCCAGAGUUUGGUUCCCAGCACCCACAUCAAGUAACUCACAAUUUCCUCUAACUCCAGUUCUGGAGGAGCCAAUGAUCUUGUCUCCAUGGGAACCCACACACAUGUACACUUACCAACACACCAACAAACACACGUGCCCAUAAUUAAAGAUGACUAUAAAAAUAAAUAUUAAAAAGAAUGCAGUUGGCACAUUUUCACCCAUCUGCCUUGACAAAAUAAUGAUCAUUUAAAGAAUGAAAAUGGUCCAUCUGCCCGACCCACUGAGUGUGUGGUUUUCAUCUUUACCUCCAAAGAGCCUCCUAUGGCGAAUGAAACCCUUCCAUUGUCCUGUUUUUCAUAUAAUUCACCCAAAGGGAAGAAGUAGCCUAUGGAGUAAGGUGAAGGUGGUCAGAUAGGUGCUCCAUCCUCAAAGCAUUAGCUCCUACAAUUAAAGACAGUCUGUGGAGAGAGAGAGACAGGGCACAAGGAAGUCUCAUAGUAACAGAGAAAUGAUUGAUAGGAAUGGAUAGAGAUUUUGGGCAAUCAGAGACAUGUGAAAUAAGACAUUUUUUCCAGAUACAUCAAUUCUAGUUAGCUAGUGGCAUAAGUAUGGGAUGGAGUGGGGAAAGGCCUGGAUGGUAGCACAAAUCAUCUUGGUUUACACCGGAAUCUGUGUCUAGUAGAAGGAAAUACAGAACACAACAUUAAUUAGUACCAUGGGUGAGGAAGGGGGAGUUUAUUAUAAAUCUGUAUUUGUUGCUCUUACAGAGGACCCAGGUUCACUUCAAGAAUCCAUAUGAUUCAUAGCCAUCCAUGAUUGAAGUUUCAGGGAAUCCAGUACCAUCUUCUGACCUUCAUGUGUACCAAGCAUGCAUGGACAAGGUACAAAAACAUACAGGCAAAACACUCCCACAUGAAAUUAAUAAAUCCAACUUAAAAAUAAAAAAAAUAUUUUCCUUAUAUUUAAGAAUGUCCACCUAUCCAUUCAUAAAGUUUGAUUAAAUAAAAGUUUAUCCACUCUG